GCCGGGUUAGCUCAGUUGGUUAGAGUGUGGUGCUAAUAACUCCAAGGUCAUGGGUUCAAUCCCUGCUCACUGCA
rnacentral:tRNA from 1 species